UGAAGCGGACCUUCACGGAGAAGGGCCAGCUGGAAACCAGCACUGGAAAGUAUGCCAGGAUUGAAACAAAGAGGACGGGAGCGACAAUAGUUGCUAAACAAAAUCAAGGAAAUCAGUCUAAUAUUACUGUUUAUAGGAGUUGCGAGAAUGAUAACAACGUCUACGUGGCGUUCUGCUUUGAACUGAAAAACAAGAAGUAUUUUCCUGUAGUAAAGAAGCAAGGAGACUCAACAGCUCCUGUCCAAUUCCAGGUGGAACUGCUGAAUGAUGAAAACGCUUUAGACGAUUCGUUCCUGUUCAGGUGGACUGAGGCAAAAGGAGGCUGGAAAUUCCUGAAUUCUGUGGCAGAACCCUAGCCAGUACUUGUCUGUCUAUAGAAACCAGUUCACCCUCACCACCACACCAACAAUUCAUUUCAGAUUCAAAUCCAGCAUCCGCCUGAAUCAAAUGAAGAGAAAAAAAUGAUUAAUUUCUUUUUUCUUUUGUUGCUAGCCAGCACGUCAGUACAUCUUUACAUGUAACCAUGUAACGGCAUUAUUAACAGGUUUAUAUGCAGUGUAACUCCUGAAAAUAUCUAACCUGAAGAUUAUUUUCACAAGUAGGCCUCUGUACUAACCACACAUAAUGCACACUUACUUUACUUUGUAUUGUAGAUUUUAAGAGACUAGCUGUCUCUACUAUGCCAGACAAAAAUGCCAAGCGUAUUCAUAUACCAUAUUUUCAUUUUUUCACUGUAUAAACAGUUGUAUCCAAACGUUUAAGCACUCCUCACCAAAUUUUGGCUGAUUUUUCAAGUGAAAAGAAGGAAACACAGCCUCUGUUUGAAUGCCAUACUAAGUCAGUACUACGUCGUUUUGGGCCAUCUUGCAUGCACAGCAUGUAUAAAUGAUCUACCCACAGAUUUUUAAUGAUGUUCAAGUCGGGGGACUGCGAGGGCCGUUCUAAACCUUCAGCUUGUGUUCAGCCUAGAAGUAGUUCAUGGUGGAUUUUGAGGUAUGUUUUGGAUCAUUGUCCUGUUGUAGAAGCCAACUUCUUUUGAGCUUCAGUUUCUUGACUGGCUGUGUCAUAGAAUUCUUCCAAAAUUUGCUGACAUUUAGUGGAAUCCAUUCUUUCAUCUACCCAUGCAAUGUUUCCUGUGCCACUGGCUGCCACACAACCCCAAAGCAUAAUAGAUCCAACCCCAUGCUUAACAGCUGGCAAGUUGUUCUUUUCAUCAGCACCGCUCCUUUUUUCCCAAACAUACGUCUGGUGAUUGUGGCCAAAGGGUUACUUUUUUUACUUCAUCAGUCCUAGAUGUCUAGAAGUCGCCAGUAAGGUUUGCUAAGGCUUGUAAGGUUUAAUUCAUGCUGUCAAAAGGGGGUUGUUCUUUGCCUUUUUGGUCAGCAUACAAACAGUUUUAUCUGAGAAUUUUCAUAGCCUUCAAGAUCUUACCUUUAUUUCCGCAGUUCCUCUUGAUGACAUUUCGGACAGUGGAUAUCGCAAACUGGAUGCGCUUUGAUCCUUUUAUAGCCUUACCCUUCUUUAUAAGCAUCAGUUAGCUUCGUUUUCAGAUCCUUAGGCACAAUCCCAUUUCUUAUUUUUACCCCUACCCCUUGUUUCCGAGUGUCACCUUGUCCCUUGGAACUGAGUACAAGGGGUAAUGGUUGAAAUCUUCCCCUACAAAAUGGGACGACCCACAAAUAAAAAGAGCAUUACUUCAUUAACAGGCUACUAGCAGUGCCCUGUAGGCAACCCUGCCAGUCUUCAGUGAUAGCAGAGGAGGGUGAAGUUCAGCAACCUCGCUGCUGGGCUUUAGUUACAUUUAGGGAAUCAUAUGCCUUCAAAGAGGGGGGAUAUGACAGUUAUUUAUUAUCGCCCACCCCUAAUUCUUCGGUGAUAUGAAGCUGAAGUCAGCUAUUUGCCAGCUUCUCGUAUGAAUUUUCCUAUUCCAGAAGUUACAUUCUAGUGCUUCAGGUGCCAGUACCGCUGGACUAUUUAAGGUGGAAUGGGAAAUUUAGGCAGUUGGCUACCAAGACAUCAGCAUAAUAUUAGCAAUUGUUUAUGCUUGUUUUGAAGAAAAGGGCCAUAAGAUAUUGAAACGACAUUAACCUAAGAUAAUAUAAUGGUUAUCAUAUUUUUUUAACAGAGAAAAUUCUCACAUUUGUGGGUUUCUUUGGUCGCUUGCGCAGCCAUCUUGCCGGUUUUUCUUUUUUUCUCAUAACACUCUGUUUGGAGUGUAACUCUGGAAAACGUCUGUUUGGAGGGCCAUGUAGCCCUAACACUUCACCCUGCCUCUCUAUCUCAACAAAAAUCAGGAAACCCUACCCCUAGGCAUGAACGCGCAAAACGGAGGGGUAGGGGCAAGGGGUGAAAUGGGACUGAGCCUGCUGCUUAGAGAUGCCCAUUCUUGUUGAGUGUUGGCACAAGAUUCAGAGAAUCAGAGAAGAAUCAGACAAUUUAUUACACUCUGAAAUUGUUUUCAGGUAAAAAUUCCUGGCCUGGCUAACCAGUCCUAACAAGUCAGUGAAGGCCUAUUGAGUUACGUUCUGAGACUUUACAACUGUAAGAGCGUCUAAACGUUUUCACAUGCCAUUUUUUCUUUUUAACUUAAUGCAGCAGUCACUAUAUAUUUGAUUCACACUUGCAGAAAAAUGUUAUUUUUUAAUAGUCUGCUGCAGAGGAUGUAUUUAUUUCUUUUCACUUCAGAAAAGUAUGGAGUAUUUGCCCAGUAUUUGCCCAGGGCUGCCUGACAUUUUGCAGACAACUAUAUUAGUAGUUGAAGAGAUAUCAUUUUAGCUGCCUUUUUACAUGCUUACAGAUUAAUGUCUGAUAAAUAGAAGCAGUGCAUUCCAUAGUUUGGUGCAGAAAAACAAAGCUACCUUUACACUACUUCUGUUUUUUAGUUUGGAUAUUUGAAGUAGGCCAGCAUUUACUAAACUGUGAUCAUGUAAUGGAGUGUGUGCAGACAGACUUGGAGUUAAGUUUGCAGGUGCUGAAUCGUUGUGUUUUUAAACACAAGCAACCAGUGUAAAUCUUUCAACACAGGAUUGAUAUACGAUAUGUCCAAAUAGAUCCUGAAACCACUUCCAAUUAGCAGUCACUUUAAGGUGCACCCAUUGUUGACACAGGCAUUUAAUUGCACACACACACACGGCUUUUUGGAGUCUAAAGUGUAGGUUUACUCCCUGUCCCGGAAACCAGCCCACAGUGUUUGUGCUUAAUCUUGAUUGAUGUUGUUUGGGAAGCCCAGAAAGGAGAGCAUUACUAUAAUCCAACAUUUUGGCCUUUGCCAAAAAGUGAUCAUUGUAUUUCUGCUUUCUAUUAGGUUCCACAGACUUCACCCACUGCCCUACAUGCCAUGGUAAAGACAUGACAAUAAGGGGAUAGGCUUUCAAAGGUAAUUACACUGAUUCAGGGGUUACUAAACUGAAUACGUUAUUGUAGUUUUAAAUAGACACAGUGGCAGGUUUCAUACACUUCAGAGAAGCUGUAUAUUUGCCUCUGUCCUUUCAGAUUGGUAGUGCUGUCGUAGAUUGAUGGGAAUGAUUCAGCUCACGUUGAGAAUGAGCCCAAACAUAUAGGCUCUCAGACUACUCAACCAGAUCACUUUGGUAAACAUGAAAGGAAUGCCUGUUGAGAUGGACAGUAUCAGAGGCUUAAAACUAUUGGCGGUUUGAUAAAGCACCUUUUUAGUGCACGUAUAGUAUCAAGUAAUAUGAAGGUUAAGAACAAGGCUUGGCUUUGGCUUAUCUUUUCCUGUUAUAAACGUUGUGAGUUAUUCCAUUGAUGGCAGUUUAUUGUCUGAUAAAGGUUGGUCUACUUCCACUGGUAAUUAGUGUUCUCUAUUUGUUUUGCAUAUAGUUUUGUAGUUUUUGAAGGAAACAGCUGGAAUAACAGCUGUUGUAUAGUGGAAAACACAAUAUUAUUUCUCUAAUAAAGCAAUUAUUCAUAAAACAUCAUUGAUAUUUUGGUUUUAUUGGUUUUGAAAAAAGCCCAUAUAUAUAUAUUCACUAAAUAAACAAUCACUUCAUUGAUUGUUUAUUGAGGGUUUUUUGUACUGCAACAUUUUGCUUGCUUGCAUUUACUGUCUUCUUGGUCUUCUUUUAGAUCAAGGUCUGUUCUGAUGGGCUGUCCUGCAUUGUUCAUAGCUCAAAAAGAAGUCGGGGCUAAAAACUUUAUGUUGGGUUAAAUGGGUUAAACAGACAAAUAUGCAAAUGUCUUAUAUUAUGACAUCACGCAGACAAAUUUCCGUACAUGGACUGGGGAGUGAAUGGUACGAUUUAAAAUGUUAACUAAGUUUUAUAAGUGUUUACAUACUACAACUAACUUACCUAUAUUUUAGAAAGCGAGGGAAAAUUGGUUUGCUGAUAUGACCAUAUGACCCAAAUCUGUUAACUUCAGCACUUUAUGCUUGGAGGUCUAUGUGUUUACCUUUUUCAUCUUUAUCCAUCUAUGCUUAAUUUGAGUCUACAUAAAUGCAUUAAACAAGGCAAAUACA